rnacentral:rRNA from 1 species
GAGUUUGAACCUGGCUCAGGAUGAACGCUGGCGGCGUGCCUAAUACAUGCAAGUCGAGCGAACCACUUCGGUGGUGAGCGGCGAACGGGUGAGUAACACGUAGGUGAUCUGCCCAUCAGACGGGGACAACGAUUGGAAACGAUCGCUAAUACCAGAUAGGACGAAAGUUUAAAGGUGCUUCUGGCACCGCUGAUGGAUGAGCCUGCGGCGCAUUAGCUAGUUGGUAGGGUAAAGGCCUACCAAGGCGACGAUGCGUAGCCGACCUGAGAGGGUGAACGGCCACACUGGGACUGAGACACGGCCCAGACUCCUACGGGAGGCAGCAGUAGGGAAUCUUCGGCAAUGGGCGAAAGCCUGACCGAGCAACGCCGCGUGAAUGAUGAAGGCCUUCGGGUUGUAAAAUUCUGUUAUAAGGGAAGAACGACUUUAGUAGGAAAUGGCUAGAGUGUGACGGUACCUUAUGAGAAAGCCACGGCUAACUACGUGCCAGCAGCCGCGGUAAUACGUAGGUGGCGAGCGUUAUCCGGAAUUAUUGGGCGUAAAGAACGCGCAGGUGGUUGAUUAAGUCUGAUGUGAAAGCCCACGGCUUAACCGUGGAGGGUCAUUGGAAACUGGUCGACUUGAGUGCAGAAGA